UCAGUUCGGACUGGAGUCUGCAACCCGACUCCACGAAGCUGGAUUCGCUAGUAAUCGCGCAUCAGCCACGGCGCGGUGAAUACGUUCCCGGGCCUUGUACACACCGCCCGUCAAGCCAUGGGAGCCGGGGGUACCUGAAGUGCGUAACCGCGAGGAGCGCCCUAGGGUAAAACUGGUGACUGGGGCUAAGUCGUAACAAGGUAGC
rnacentral:rRNA from 1 species